rnacentral:sRNA from 1 species
UAAUAAUUUUAGUGUAAUAUUUGGUGUUGUGGUUGGAAAAUAAAAAAAAAUAGUGUUAAAGUUACACUAAAUAUAGUGUUAUUUCUUAUGGUUGGAGAUGCCCUUACAUACUCUAAGGUUUGUCACUGUGUUUAAUAAUGUGUAUCUCUAGCAUUUGCAUUGUGAUGUGACAAGUCCUAGUGACCAACUUCUACUUUCAUAACCUUAGAGUGCACAUUUUUAUUACAUAUAACAAUGGGUUUGAAUGGUAACCAUUGUCAUAGCAGUACAGUUUUGUAUAGAUUUGACAGUUACCAAUCACAAAAGCUUUAUCAAAAAUGUUACAUAAAGUUUUUUUGUACAGCUUUCUUGUACAUCUCAUUCUAACAGUUUUGCAUUAUACCGAUAAAACUAACAGUUCCAACUAACAGCUAAAAAGUUUAUACAGUUUUUUGUUACUAAUCAGACCCAAUAUGUAUCUCUAACACAAAUUAACAU